AGAGUUUGAUCCUGGCUCAGGAUGAACGCUAGCUACAGGCUUAACACAUGCAAGUCGAGGGGCAGCAUGAAUAUUGGCUUGCCAAUAUUUGAUGGCGACCGGCGCACGGGUGAGUAACACGCAUCCAACCUUCCGGUUACUCGGGGAUAGGCUUUCGAAAGAAAGAUUAAUACCCGAUGUUGUGUAUCUUUCUCCUGAAAGAUACGCCAAAGGAUUCCGGUAACCGAUGGGGAUGCGUUCCAUUAGGCAGUUGGCGGGGUAACGGCCCACCAAACCUUCGAUGGAUAGGGGUUCUGAGAGGAAGGUCCCCCACAUUGGAACUGAGACACGGUCCAAACUCCUACGGGAGGCAGCAGUGAGGAAUAUUGGUCAAUGGACGGAAGUCUGAACCAGCCAAGUAGCGUGAAGGAUGACUGCCCUCUGGGUUGUAAACUUCUUUUAUACGGGAAUAACAUGAGGUACGCGUACCUUAUUGCAUGUACCGUUAUGAAUAAGCAUCGGCUAACUCCGUGCCAGCAGCCGCGGUAAUACGGAGGAUGCGAGCGUUAUCCGGAUUUAUUGGGUUUAAAGGGAGCGUAGGUGGGAUAUUAAGUCAGCUGUGAAAGUUUGGGGCUCAACCUUAAAAUUGCAGUUGAUACUGGUUUCCUUGAGUACGGUACAGGUGGGCGGAAUUCGUGGUGUAGCGGUGAAAUGCUUAGAUAUCACGAAGAACUCCGAUCGCGAAGGCAGCUCACCGGGCCGGAACUGACACUGAUGCUCGAAAGUGCGGGUAUCAAACAGGAUUAGAUACCCUGGUAGUCCGCACAGUAAACGAUGAAUACUCGCUGUUUGCGAUACACAGUAAGCGGCCAAGCGAAAGCGUUAAGUAUUCCACCUGGGGAGUACGCCGGCAACGGUGAAACUCAAAGGAAUUGACGG
rnacentral:rRNA from 1 species